UCUCCGUUGGUGAACCAGCGGAGGGAUCAUUACCGAGUUUUUCUACUCCAAAACUCCUGUGAACUUAUACCUUUACUGUUGCUUCGGCGGGUUAACGCCCCGUAAGGCCCAAAAAGCCGCCGGAACCAGGCGCCCGCCGGGGGACCCAAACUCUUGUAUUUCUUACUUUGCAUGUCUGAGUGGAAUCAUAAACAAAUGAGUCAAAACUUUCAACAACGGAUCUCUUGGUUCUG
rnacentral:misc_RNA from 1 species